CCUGGGUCAACACUGACGCUCAUGUACGAAAGCGUGGGGAGCAAACAGGAUUAGAUACCCUGGUAGUCCACGCCGUAAACGAUGUCUACUAGAAGCUCGGAGCCUCGGCUCUGUUUUUCAAAGCUAACGCAUUAAGUAGACCGCCUGGGGAGUACGGCCGCAAGGUUAAAACUCAAAUGAAUUGACGGGGGCCCGCACAAGCGGUGGA
rnacentral:rRNA from 1 species